rnacentral:rRNA from 1 species
GACGAACGCUGGCGGCGUGCUUAACACAUGCAAGUCGAACGGAAAGGCCCUGCUUUUGUGGGGUGCUCGAGUGGCGAACGGGUGAGUAACACGUGAGUAACCUGCCCUUGACUUUGGGAUAACUUCAGGAAACUGGGGCUAAUACCGGAUAGGAGCUCCUGCUGCAUGGUGGGGGUUGGAAAGUUUCGGCGGUUGGGGAUGGACUCGCGGCUUAUCAGCUUGUUGGUGGGGUAGUGGCUUACCAAGGCUUUGACGGGUAGCCGGCCUGAGAGGGUGACCGGCCACAUUGGGACUGAGAUACGGCCCAGACGCCUACGGGAGGCAGCGGUGGGGAAUAUUGUACAAUGGGCGGAAGCCUGAUGCAGCAACGCCGCGUGCGGGAUGACGGCCUUCGGGGUGUAAACCGCUGUCGCCUGUGACGAAGCGUGAGUGACGGUAAUGGGUGAAGAAGCACCGGCUAACUACGUG